ensembl:lncRNA
AGUCUCCAUAGUCAGCUUAGGACACGGUGGUUACAUUUCAUUUUCAAAGGAAAUGUCCUGGAAAAAAACAGGAAUGUCCUACUCACAAACGAGGGUCAGUUCAGUGCUGGAGUUAUGCAAAGAUUGCUUCUGAAAGAGGGAUCGAUAUAAACGCUUAGUCUGCAAACGUCCAGACUCCAGACAAUGACUGUUUCCUUUGUCCACCUGGACCUUUUAUUGAUUUUUGGACCACACUGUUUGAAGAGAGAGUGGGAGAAUCUCCUUCAUCAGAGAACAUCUUGGGCAUCAGAACGCCCAUCACACAAGCUAUCAGACUGUAGCCAGUCAGUGUACAUGGGAAUGAUUUGUAGGCAUGACUAAUAGAAGCCGAUGGGCAGGAUGCCAGGGUUACUUUCACCUCUUUGAGAAACACCUUUCAGUUAUCACAGUGAGUCAAGUACUACUGUAUGUCACUGACUUCUUUUUUAUUCUUAAGUUUCUACAGACAUUUAUGGGUCAAUGACAUGAUGCUCAUUUUCCUUUGAAAGUCACUGAUCUUUAAAGCUCUUCUUUAAUGGCAUGGUUUUAUUUUCUGGA